rnacentral:rRNA from 1 species
GAUGAACGCUGGCGGCGUGCCUAAUACAUGCCAGUCGAGCGAACAGACGAGGAGCUUGCUCCUCUGACGUUAGCGGCGGACGGGUGAGUAACACGUGGAUAACCUACCUAUAAGACUGGGAUAACUUCGGGAAACCGGAGCUAAUACCGGAUAAUAUAUUGAACCGCAUGGUUCAAUAGUGAAAGACGGUUUUGCUGUCACUUAUAGAUGGAUCCGCGCCGCAUUAGCUAGUUGGUAAGGUAACGGCUUACCAAGGCGACGAUGCGUAGCCGACCUGAGAGGGUGAGCAGCCACACUGGAACUGAGACACGGUCCAGACUCCUACGGGAGGCAGCAGUAGGGAAUCUUCCGCAAUGGGCGAAAGCCUGACGGAGCAACGCCGCGUGAGUGAUGAAGGCCUUCGGAUCGUAAAACUCUGUUAUUAGGGAAGAACAAAUGUGUAAGUAACUAUGCACGUCUUGACGGUACCUAAUCAGAAAGCCACGGCUAACUACGUG